AAAUAAUAUAAAAUAAGAAAUACCUAAUAGCCUUAACAGACGAGCAAAAUUAAUGCGCAUUUUAUGGUGACAUACAGCAGAAUUGUGCAUUUAGACAGCUGAUUGUAAAAUUUGUUUAUUUAUUAAAAAUAAGUGAAAUAAAAAGUGAUAAAGGGAUAUUAAUAGCAAUUUUGGUUUUUGGAAAAUCAAUAUAAAUUUAGCGGAAAAAAGUCGUUUAUUAUUAAAUGCGUUAAAAGAUAAUAAAGUGCAAUUAAAACAAUGGUACGUCUCAAUACUACUACAUUUUACGUUUGCGUUGCACAAACAUUGCUAUAGAUUUUCGCUGCCAUGUACGCUGAACAAAUUUCUACUGUAUUUUUUUUUUUAUUUACAUUCAGGGAAAAAAUUAUUAAAUUUGGAAAAAGUAUCAGAAAUGUUUAUUGAAUUCUUUUUUUGUGUAAUACUUGAAAAUUUAUAAAGUCGUUGACUAAAUGGCUCGUUUCGAUAAUAUAUCAUCAAUAUUGAUUUCCCCUUUAUACUCCUUAAUGCGUAGAAGAUCGGUAAGAUGUUGGUCAGAAAGCGUGUUUCUUUGCUUAUUUUGAAUUAAUUUGAAAGUGGAAAAUGCACUUCCACAAUUAUAAGUCGAUCCCAUCAUCGAAUACAAUUUGAAAAUUUCUUCUUUCAAUUUCGGACAUUUUAAAAAUCCGAGGUGUUUCUGUCAGUGUAUUUAAAAAAAUGCGCGAUGCGAUGUUGCUUGCUCAACAGAAACUAAAUGCCGAUUCUUUGUGUUGACCUAGCGUACGUGUUCAGCCGCUUUCGUGUGCGUGUGAUAUUUUUCGCAGUAGCAGAAUUAUCAGUCAAACACGCGUGUUUUUUAUUGCGUUGUUAUUAAAUGAGCGCCACUGAAUUAAAAUCAAUACUUGACUGUAACGUGAAAAAAGUGUGCGAAAAAGUUAAGAAUAUUGGAAAAAUGGAUGGAUGUAUAUUCAAAUAUAUUUAACAAGCGUACAUACAUACAUACAUAACUAAACACAUAUACUUGAUGAAAAUAUGAAUUGAUCUAAGGAUGUCUAUCUGACCGUCCUUCUGUGCUAGAUGGACACAGGGGAUAGCCCGGCCCGAUGCUGUGAAAAACCAAAUCUCGGGAUUUCAACCAAAUUCGGAUUCAAACUAAUCAUCAAUAAAUGUAUCAGGCUAAAAAUCUAGGCUAACUUUAUACUGUAUAUUACUACGAGCAAACAAUAGUAAGACUUUGUUCCGGCCUCUUUUUAUAUAUUUCCGAAUCGUUAGCAUGGAUCCAAGACACAUCGCCAGUAAUAGUACGUUUCAUGACAUCUUGAUAGUCGGAAAGCAUUGUUUUACAGACGUUAACGCUACGCUGUUUUUCAAAAAAAUGUAUUAAUUUUCAAACCAAUCGUACUUUCAGUUUUCUUAGGCCCAAAUGACCUUUCUAAAUGGUUUUCACUGAUCCUUCCGAUAUUCCAACGAUGCCAGUAAGAUCUCUGACGGUUAGUCGCUGAUUCUCAAGCACCAAUUCUUUUAUUGCAUUGAUCAUCAAUUGAUUUUGGUGGCCUUUCUGAACGUGGUUCGUCGUCAACGCGUUCUCGACCCUCUUUUAAUAAUUUGUAUCAAUCAAAAACACUUGUUCGCGACAAAUAUUUAUCAUCGAAGGCCUUUUCCAACUGUUGAAAUGAGUUAAGCCUCCCCCCACUCUACCUAGGAAAAACUGGUGCACCCCAGCAAGACAGCUUAAUGCACCACAGCCGAUGACAACACAAAACCAACUCAACUCACCACACCUGUACACCAAUCUACUCAACAAAAAGGAUGGACAACGGGAAGGCAGUUUUAUAUGUUAUACAUACAUCGUUACAAGCAUCCGUGCUUACAUUCUCUACCAACAUUCGUCACAUACAGUUCGCACUUCAAUUUAUUCGUUUUUCGACACCAUUCCGCGAGUUAAUUUUUACCAGAAGUAAAAAUUAGUCAAAAGAAUAUACUUAUUUUGAGCUGCACCGAAAUGUGUACUCUUUAUUCAUACUCUUAAAACUAACUUAUUACACAGCUCUUACUUCUAUUUAAACUAACUAGUAUGUUUACUUAUUACUAGUUGUUAAUUUGUUUAGAUAUACCAAAUAUUGUUUGUUUAGAUUUGUUUACAUAAAUCUUAGUGCUACUUAUACUAUUGAUGUACUGGUUGUUCACUAGUAAAUAACUAUUUGGGUUGUUAUUGUUUGUUGUACUGAUAGUGCACUUCUAUUGUUCCAAGCUAAAGAACACAAGAUUGUUGUUCGUUUACUGAAACAUAAGGUUGUUUUGAUGAUUGUUUGUUUAGGAUAUUUUGAAAAGAUACUAUUGUAAGGAAUAUGUUCCUUAACUCGCGCGCUGCACAUAACUCGAUCAGUCGAAUAAGUAUCGGACAUUGGCUGAAUUAAAAUCGUUAUUUGAUACACCUCGAACCCGCUUAUAUACCUUAUAACAAUAAUUAAGCAAUAAUUUUUAAUUGUACCACUGAUAGCUCUGUCAAAAGGGGGGUCACUCAUCCGAGGCUUGUUGUUUCUUUUCAUUGGGGGUGUUUUUUUACGUGGCGGGUCCCAAACCCAGCGCACAACCCUAUGCAGGGGAUGUUUCGCCUUCUCACGUUAGCUCGCCUUCAAACGGAUGUUCUUAGGCUACCCAGAGGAUACUUGGUCAAAGACCGGAAGUCGUGAGCUGCUUGAGUCAUAUGCAAAAGAAUCGUUUCUGGCCACUGCCAAGUGAAUGGCGAUCAGAGAACUUUCCUCACUUGCGUGAACUUCUACACAUGACUCCAUCCUAUAAUCGCGUAAGCGGUGUCUACGCCAAUUAAGAAUUAAGAUAGCUCUGUGACAAAAAUAAAGUAUCCUCUAAUUUGCAUACAAACUAAUUGAGUUUUAAUUUAAUUUACUUAAAGUGAGUGUAAGUGAUCGUACAGCAAUUAAAGUUCGGUGGUGGGUGUUUCCCAUUAAAUUGAACUUCCAAUUAUUCAUGGUCCGUCGAGCCAUACGGAGUGCACUAUUGGCAUUGUCCAAAUAUUAACAAAUAAACAUACUUGUAUAAGUGGUUUGCGGUACAAAAUUCAAAUAAACAUACAUAUUUGUAUACUAAUAAACAAAACUAAGUUCUGUGACAAAUUGCAGUGACACAAGCAAAAAACAACAAUAUAUAUGUACUUACAUACGAGUACGUACAUAUAUAACAGACCAACAAAAAUCAAAACGAUCAAACCAAGAGAGUGUAGUGGGCUGAAAUUAAAAAAAAAGUAUAGCGGCCCUCAUAUGUGCAUACACAUAUAAAGCACAUACAUAUAUCUACCUUAAUAUACAAAACUGUACAAACAUAAAAACAAAAACAUAAAUCGGGCGCGAAAAGUAAAAGCACCCAAACAAAAAAUAUACAAUUGCAAAAACAAGACGACCGCGAAUUUAAGAAACAAAACCACAAGCAACAACACUCUCAAGAGCUGGCAGAACAGAGGCGAAGAAUUGGCGAUAAAAGGGGCAUGUACAUAUGUAUGUACAUAAACCCCAACCCCAAAUCAAAGUGAGCAUAUCAAUUUAACUUUCUAUUUAAUAAACGCACAUAAAUAUCUAUGUUUUAAGUUACGGUUUUUCUUAUUUAAAACCUAACGUAAAAUCAGUACCUAAACUGUAAUAACUCAUGGGUGUAAUUAAAAUUACCGUAAUAUAAAAAAUAAUAAUCAAGUACAUAAGUAUAUAUUCUACAUAUAUCAAUAUAUGUAUAUACAUAUAUAUACACAUACGUACAUAUACACCUUCGGAUGUUUUUUGUCUGUAAUUUAAAAAAAAAAUGAAAUACUUUGAAUCUACUUGUGGAUUGUUUUUAUUUGGUCUUUUAAAUUUUUUUACAUCAAGUUGAGAAUAUGAUAUCAUGUAAAUGGCCGCCGCCAUAGUUGAUUGUCAUUUUAACCCUUUUUAUGUCAUUUUCCAUCACUUUGGCCAGAACUUCCGGCGAUAGGUCCUCACAUUCUUGGCGGAUAUCGUCUUUAAGAGCUGCCAGAGUCUGAGGCUUAUGACAUAAACCCGCGACUUGAAAAACCCCACAAAAAGAAGUCUGGAGCGGUCAAAUCAGGCGAUCUUGCUGGCCAGUGCAAAUCGCCACGACGGGAGAUUAGGCGCCCGGGAAAUGCAUCCUUCAGCGUAUAGGUGGUGGCAAGUGCAGUGUAUGCCGUUGCACCGUCCUGUUGGAACCACAUGUUUUCCAAUUCAUCAAGUUGCUUCAAAAAGUAUUCGUUGAUCAAUGCUCUGUAGCGCUCACCACUCACAGUAACCCUUUGGCCCACGACGUCUUCGAAGAAAAAAGGCCGGUACGUUGUACGAGUAGAACCACAAUUUUCCAAAACUCCACAAAUUGGUAUUAAAAACAAAGUCAAAGUUACCCCUGACAGUUCCUAUAUUAAAAGCUUUCAUCAAAUAUUUUAAAAAUCAUGAUUGAAAAAUCUAGAGCUAAAU